UAUCGGAAAUAUUGUUAUGCCGUUUAAUUUUAUGUUUUUUCCGGAUCUACAAAAACGUUUAAUUUAAUAGAUUUCCAAUGUAUAAAAGGUGAAAUUUUGAUUGUUUCUUGUAUGGUGUAAGUGUUUAAGCUCAUUAUUUUACAAGAAAAC